rnacentral:rRNA from 1 species
UUUCGCAAUGCCCGAAAGGGUGACGAAGCGACGCCGCGUGCGGGAAGAAGGCCUUCGGGUUGUAAACCGCUGUCGGGAGUUAAGAAAUGUAAGGAUGUUAAUAGCAUCUUUGCUUGACUAAGGCUCCGGAGGAAGCCACGGCUAACUCUGUGCCGGCAGCCGCGGUAAUACAGAGGCGGCAAGCGUUGUUCGGAAUUAUUGGGCGUAAAGAGCACGUAGGCGGCUAUGUAAGUCGGUUGUGAAAGCCUUCCGCUCAACGGGAGAACAGCAUCCGAUACUGCAUGGCUUGAGUGCGGGAGGGGAGAGUGGAACUUCUGGUGGAGCGGUGAAAUGCGUAGAUAUCAGAAGGAACGCCGGCGGCGAAAGCGGCUCUCUGGCCCAUAACUGACGCUGAGUGUGCAAAAGCUAGGGGAGCAAACGGGAUUAGAUACCCCGGUAGUCCUAGCCGUAAACGAUGGGCACUAAGUAGAGGGGUUUUAAUCUC